rnacentral:rRNA from 1 species
GACGAACGCUGGCGGCGUGCUUAACACAUGCAAGUCGAACGGAGAGGCGAAAGGGGGAGUAACAAGUGGGGAACUUACCUGCACUGCGGGAUAAGCCUGGGAAACUGGGUCAAAUACCGGCGAGUGUGGGAUGGGCUCGCGGCCUAUCAGUUGGUUGGUGGGGUAAAGGCCUACCAAGGCGGCGAUCGGUAACUGGUCUGAGAGGAUGAUCCGUCACACUGGAACUGAGACACGGUCCAGACUCCUACGGGAGGCAGCAGUGGGGAAUAUUGGACAAUGGGCGAAAGCCUGAUCCAGCCAUGCCGCGUGUGUGAAGAAGGUCUUCGGAUUGUAAAGCACUUUAAGUUGGGAGGCGUUACCAACAGAAUAAGCACCGGCUAACUUCGUGCCAGCAGCCGCGGUAAUUC